rnacentral:rRNA from 1 species
GACGAACGCUGGCGGCGUGCCUAAUACAUGCCAGUAGAACGCUGAAGGAAGGAGCUUGCUCUUUCUGGAUGAGUUGCGAACGGGUGAGUAACGCGUAGGUAACCUGCCUGGUAGCGGGGGAUAACUAUUGGAAACGAUAGCUAAUACCGCAUAAAAUUGAUUAUUGCAUGAUAGUCAAUUAAAAGGUGCAACUGCACCACUACCAGAUGGACCUGCGUUGUAUUAGCUAGUUGGUGGGGUAACGGCUCACCAAGGCGACGAUACAUAGCCGACCUGAGAGGGUGAUCGGCCACACUGGGACUGAGACACGGCCCAGACUCCUACGGGAGGCAGCAGUAGGGAAUCUUCGGCAAUGGACGGAAGUCUGACCGAGCAACGCCGCGUGAGUGAAGAAGGGUUUCGGAUCGUAAAGCUCGGUUGUAAGAGAAGAACGAGUGUGAGAGUGGAAAGUUCACACUGUGACGGUAUCUUACCAGAAAGGGACGGCUAACUACGUG